rnacentral:lncRNA from 1 species
CUGCCGCAGCUGAGGCUGCAGGGACCACGUGGUGUUCAGACACCUUGGCCUCGCCUGAGCUCCGCCUUCCCUGAGCAGUGGCUCACUGCCUUCCUUUAGAAGCCCUUGGUUUCUAGGAGGAAGCACCUCUGACCACUUCUCACUGGCGGUCUUCCUUGGCAUCUCGCUCGUCCCUCUGCCCUCAGUGUAACGGUGUCCAGGUGGUUCCUGCAGCUAUCACCUCUGUUACCUUUGCCCCUUCAUUCUCACUGCAGAUCUCCACAGUCACAUCAGCUCGUCUUGGGGCCUGGCCCCCUGCACUCGGGGGCCGCCCACCCGCCUGGAGCUGUCUCCAGGCCCCACCCGUCUCCUGAUCUCACAGUUGCAUCUGUGUGUUUCUCCGUGGACUAAUCCAUGCGUUGUGAUCCACAGGGACCACAGUGAGCAAGGUCUUGCACCUCACAGGACUCCACCAGUGCCGAACAGGAACUGAACCCGUGGAUGUGACCUCCGGUAGAAAAAACGGUGGCCACCCACAGCCCUUGACUGUGAGCCUCCUUGAGAGCGGCUGGAGCCAGCUCAGGAAAUGGGAACCCCGGAGUGGCACAUCUUGGAAUUCUUGUAUGCACCGGAAGAGUCGGGAGAGGCAUUGUCACAUGAGCUUGAGAACUGUGUGUCUUCUCGUUGGUACUGAGUUCAUGUUUUUUGGGCUACUCAGCCUUCGAGAUCUCUGUGUGGAUGCCCCAGAGGUGACCAGCUCCAGGAAGGAAGCCAAUACUGGGACAGCAUCCAUGAAAGUCACUUUUGGAUGCCUGGAGGACAGGACAAGAGGAGGCUGGAAUGAGAGGCCCCUUCUCACAUACCACCGGCCGUGUCCCAGCCCGAGGCGUGGUGAGUCACCAAGAGCCACCUCAGGAUGGGUUUUAUGUACCUCUUGUGGCUUCCAAGGGGCCCCAGGGCAGGGUACAGUGCUAUAGCAAACACCAGGAAAACCCCAGCCGUGCUCCAGGUGAGUACAAGUAACAAGUAAGAAGAAAGCCACAGAGUGGCCGAGCAAAGGCUCUGAUAGGCAGGAUCACUGGUCCUGCUCAGGGUGGGGGCCCUGGGCCACAUGGUGGGUGGGCUGAUGACGCUUUGCAGGAAGCCCAGAUGCUUGGCGGGAGGGACACGGGG